CUAGGGCAGGAAGGAAAGUCUGGGCUGAUAAGGCCUUGGGAGCAUUGUCCAAAAGAAAGGGGAGGCCGCACUCCUGAUCCCAAAUCUUUCCUCGCUCGAGUUCCACUGUGAAGAGGAAAAGAUCGAUUUCUGAAACCAGACUUGCCUCCAAAUCCCAACUUCUUUCACGACUGGCAGGAUAAUUCGGGCUUGAUUAACCCACUGGAGCUUGUUUUCUAACCUGCAAAUUGAAGGGAAGGACACAGGUCAGCUUAAGAGCCGGGACGAGUGCUGGACCGAAGCGUGGCGACAUUUCCCGGUCUGCCACACCUCGAGCGAGUCACACUAUGGAAAGCGUUGGCCCCAAGAGCACGCUCUGCCCCUAGCCCUUGGCUUCAAGCACGGGACGCCGGGCCUGAGCACCCCAGGGCAAGCAGCGGCGCGCCGUGAACCACUCCGCCGCGCUGCGGCCUCGGGUCACCCGGCGCGGCUCCUUCCGGUGCACGGCCGGCGGGUCCAGCUCUCGCCGGGGUCACGGGUCCCGGCGCGGGGACGACCCGACCGGAUUUCUGUGGGGCCCUCGUGCGCAUCACGGCCCCUUGUCCGCCCAAAACGCGCUGGCGCCGCGCACGCGCGGCCCCGCGUAGUUUCGAGGACACCGUAUUGCCCGGUUCUCGGUGGAGCCCCGCGUGCGACCCCUGGGGGCCUAGCGGGGAAGGCGCAGAAGAGGCGCGCCGCCGCGCGCACCACGUGACCAAGUGAAACUGUAGUACCAGGAGAUGGAGUAAGAGGAGCUGGGGCCUAGUCGGACUUUUUCUUUGUCGUGCUUUUUAUGUCUGGCCCCAGGCUUCAAUCUUCCGUCCAGCCUCUACUUCCCCUUGCACUAUCCCGAGUCCUAUGGUACCUUACACGUCAAGAAACGGCCUUGCCAAAGUUGACCCACUUCAGGUCCAAAACAGAACAGGAACCGAGUGCUGUAACAGACAAGGUGGCUCUAACAGGAACGCGCAACAAGACUCAUUCUUCAUGCUGCCUCUGAAUCUUAAAAUAAAGAAUGCCCACUCCUUACUGAACUUCUACGGUGUGCCAGGAGCUUCACCAAUAUCCCAUUUUCGUUUCCUGACAGCCCUGCCUUGGGAGUAUCAUUGUCACCAUUUUACAGGAGUCACUGAGAGGCAAAGCAACCUGGGCAUGAUCACAUACCCAGUAAGUGGCUGCGGCAAGGCCUGCUAAGACCUUUAGAGGCGCAGGCUCUGAAAAGAUCGGGACCCUGUCCCCGCAUACUGAAUGCAAAAACCACAGGCCUAAUUUGUAAGAUGGGAAGAAAAGUUCAAUAAAUUUCAGAUUUCCUGCAA